AGCUAAUACCGCAUACGCCCUACGGGGGAAAGCAGGGGAUCGCAAGACCUUGCACUAUUGGAGCGGCCGAUAUCGGAUUAGCUAGUUGGUGGGGUAACGGCUCACCAAGGCGACGAUCCGUAGCUGGUUUGAGAGGACGACCAGCCACACUGGGACUGAGACACGGCCCAGACUCCUACGGGAGGCAGCAGUGGGGAAUUUUGGACAAUGGGGGAAACCCUGAUCCAGCCAUCCCGCGUGUGCGAUGAAGGCCUUCGGGUUGUAAAGCACUUUUGGCAGGAAAGAAACGUCGUGGGUUAAUACCCCGCGAAACUGACGGUACCUGCAGAAUAAGCACCGGCUAACUACGUGCCAGCAGCCGCGGUAAUACGUAGGGUGCAAGCGUUAAUCGGAAUUACUGGGCGUAAAGCGUGCGCAGGCGGUUCGGAAAGAAAGAUGUGAAAUCCCAGAGCUUAACUUUGGAACUGCAUUUUUAACUACCGAGCUAGAGUGUGUCAGAGGGAGGUGGAAUUCCGCGUGUAGCAGUGAAAUGCGUAGAUAUGCGG
rnacentral:rRNA from 1 species